rfam:Candidatus Doudnabacteria bacterium RIFCSPHIGHO2_01_52_17 rifcsphigho2_01_sub10_scaffold_1338, whole genome shotgun sequence.
GGCCUGGUAGCCAAGUGGUAAGGCAGCGGUCUGCAAAACCGCGUACACGGGUUCGAUUCCCGUCCAGGCCU